rnacentral:rRNA from 1 species
UACGGGGGGGGGCAAGCGUUGUUCGGAAUUACUGGGCGUAAAGGGCUCGUAGGCGGCCAACUAAGUCAGACGUGAAAUCCCUCGGCUUAACCGGGGAACUGCGUCUGAUACUGGAUGGCUUGAGAUUGGGAGAGGGAUGCGGAAUUCCAGGUGUAGCGGUGAAAUGCGUAGAUAUCUGGAGGAACACCGGUGGCGAAGGCGGCAUCCUGGACCAACACUGACGCUGAGGAGCGAAAGCCAGGGGAGCAAACGGG